CUGACUCUAAGGUCACGUUCUUUCCACUUCACUACUCUGCCCCCUUGGUGCCAGCCGGCCACCGCAGACAGUGGUCGCAUCCUAGAGAACACUGCCAGUCUUUAUCAAGCAAAUCUUGCCAAUUCACACCGGAGGAGGGCACAACAGCUGUAUGAACCCAGGAAUUUGGUGGUUUUCAGGAGUAUCUCCAAGAUCACCGUGUAGCCCUCCAGAAGAAAUAUUUGGCCACGCUGAGGACGUGCUGCCUGGUGCAGACCUACCCUUGAAGCAGGCCCCUGCCUCAGGCACCCGGUGGUUUGGUGCUGGUGAUACCUGCUUCCUAGCGUCCAGGUGGAGCCAAAACAUGAUGAGGAUGUAAAGUACUUAUUAUAUACUCGAUGAAUAACCACUAUUUGAAGCGCUUUACUUCCCCCACACAGUGAUGCGUUAUUGGGGCCUCAUGUUCUCACAUGACAGGAGAAAACCAAAAUUUGUUGUCAUAUCUGAAGGAAUUGGAAAUUGUCUAAAGAAACCUUACACAAAUGAAAAGGAUGAAUAAAUUUAAAGUUGUAAAUGCAAACUGUUUUCCAGCUCAAGGCAAUUAACAACUCACAGUGUCCUGGCAGGAAAACAUCUAGUAAGAAAGGACAGUGGGUCCCAAGGCUUGGACCUUCCCAAUCCAAUCAGAUUGGCAGGACAGAAGUGACAAGUGGUUCAAGGUUCUUGCUAGUCUCUGGAGAAAUUCUGGAAUAGGCAGCUCUGACACAUGAACAGCCUGCAUGGAUCAAGAACCUCAUGGCCUUGCAGAUUCUCAAACCAAUGGAUUUCUCUUCCAUACACGUGUUCUACACUUCAGCCAUGAAUUGACUGAGUUGCCUAUACUAAGAGUUUAAAUCAAAGGUACAAAAAAAAAUGUUUUUUAAAUAAAUCAAAGGCAUGUGCAGGGUGUUGAACCAAGGGGACAGUCAACUUGGAUACAAGGUCAAGAUCGGCAGCAAGUUCUAUGAUCCAGAGCUCCUAUCAGAUACAAACUUCAAGGGCACAUUUCUUUUCAAAGGCGUAUUCCGGUUAUAGGCCUCUUUUUGAUUCAUGAUGCUAGGAUUCUGCUUCCCCCUACCCACUCACUCCACCCUGGGAUCCAGCAUAGGGCUAAAGACACAAUAGGACUCAAUGUCUAUUAAAUUAGUUCAGGAUAAGACAUGGUUAUUACCUAAAGGAGCUCAAAACCUAAUUGAGGAGAUGAUGUACAUGUAUGAAGCCUCUAGAAAUCAUACAAGUCAGUGUGUGGAAGGGGUAAACUGUAAGAUAAAUGAGAAGAGCCAC
rnacentral:lncRNA from 1 species